rnacentral:rRNA from 1 species
GUACACGCUGUGACUAGCAUAUCAAUAAGCGGAGGAAAAGAAACUAACAAGGAUUCCCCUAGUAACGGCGAGUGAAGCGGGAAGAGCUCAAAUUUGAAAUCUUAAAGGGUUUCCCUUUACGAAUUGUAGUUUAAAGAAGUGUUUUCUGUUGAGGUUUGGUAAAAGUUCUUUGGAAUAGGACAUCAUAGAGGGUGAGAAUCCCGUAUUUGACCUUUACUUUCAACUUUGUGAUACACUUUCAAAGAGUCGGAUUGUUUGGGAAUGCAGUCCAAAAUGGGUGGUAAAUUUCAUCUAAAGCUAAAUAUUGGCGAGAGACCGAUAGCGAACAAGUACCGUGAGGGAAAGAUGAAAAGAACUUUGAAAAGAGAGUUAAACAGUACGUGAAAUUGUCAAAAGGGAAGCGUUUGACACCAGUGUUGUUUUUCUGAAAAUCAAUUAAAGAACUGUUUAUGCUAAGUUGUUUAGACUUUAUCAGCUAACUGUUUAGUUUUGAGCUUUUCUUUAAUGCACUUUUCAGUUAACAAGUCAACAUCAAUUUCUUUUGCUGUAAAAAAGCUUGAGGAAGGUGGCUUGAGAUUCGUCUUAAGUGUUUAUAGCCUCUUGCCUAUGCAGUCGGAGAGAUUGAGGUCUGCAGCGUAGAUCCUUCGGGGCUAAAUGCAUUUGUGCUAAGUUAUAGCAUUUUAUAGACAACUUGUUGACUAUGAUUUGUCUUGUAGCUUACUCGCUUAUGUUAUUUUACCUACGCUUAGGAUGUUGAAGAUGUAGCACAUCAU